rnacentral:rRNA from 1 species
UACGUAGGGUGCGAGCGUUGUCCGGAAUUAUUGGGCGUAAAGAGCUCGUAGGCGGUGUGUCACGUCGGCCGUGAAAACCUGCAGCUUAACUGUGGGCGUGCGGUCGAUACGGGCAUCACUGGAGUUCGGCAGGGGAGACUGGAAUUCCUGGUGUAGCGGUGAAAUGCGUAGAUAUCAGGAGGAACACCGGUGGCGAAGGCGGGUCUCUGGGCCGAUACUGACGCUGAGGAGCGAAAGCGUGGGGAGCGAACAGG